rnacentral:rRNA from 1 species
UACGGAAGGCAGCAGUGGGGAAUAUUGCACAAUGGGCGAAAGCCUGAUGCAGCUAUGCCGCGUGUAUGAAGAAGGCCUUAGGGUUGUAAAGUACUUUCAUCGGGGAGGAAAAAAACAAAACUAAUAAUUUUAUUUCUUGACGUUACCCGAAAAAGAAGCACCGGCUAACUCCGUGCCAGCAGCCGCGGUAAUACGGAGGGUGCUAGCGUUAAUCAGAAUUACUGGGCGUAAAGAGCACGUAGGUGGUUUUUUUAAGUCAGAUGUGAAAUCCCUGGGCUUAACCUAGGAACUGCAUUUUGAAACUGAAAUACUAGAGUAUCGUAGAGGGAGGUAGAAUUCUAGGUGUAGCGGUGAAAUGCGUAGAUAUCUGGAGGAAUACCUGUGGCGAAAGCGGCCUCCUAAACGAAUACUGACACUGAGGUGCGAAAGGCGUGGGGGAGCAAACAGGGAUUACGAUACCC